UGGGGAAUUUUGGACAAUGGGCGAAAGCCUGAUCCAGCAAUGCCGCGUGUGUGAAGAAGGCCUUCGGGUUGUAAAGCACUUUUGUCCGGAAAGAAAUCCUUGGCUCUAAUACAGUCGGGGGAUGACGGUACCGGAAGAAUAAGCACCGGCUAACUACGUGCCAGCAGCCGCGGUAAUACGUAGGGUGCAAGCGUUAAUCGGAAUUACUGGGCGUAAAGCGUGCGCAGGCGGUUUGCUAAGACCGAUGUGAAAUCCCCGGGCUCAACCUGGGAACUGCAUUGGGUGACUGGCAGGCUAGAGUAUGGCAGAGGGGGGUAGAAUUCCACGUGUAGCAGUGAAAUGCGUAGAGAUGUGGAGGAAUACCGAUGGCGAAGGCAGCCCCCUGGGCCAAUACUGACGCUCAUGCACGAAAGCGUGGGGGAGCAAACAGGAUUAGAUACCCCUGGGUAGUCCACGCCCCUAAACGAUGUCAACUAGUUGUUGGGGAUUCAUUUCCUUAGUAACGUAGCUAACGCGUGAAGUUGACCGCCUGGGGAGUACGGUCGCAAGAUUAAACUUAAUGAAUUGACGGGGUCAUAGCUGUUUCCU
rnacentral:rRNA from 1 species